rnacentral:antisense_RNA from 1 species
CUUGAUCGAACCGAGCCAGAGCGGCUCUCCGGAUCGUUCGGCGCCGUAGGUCGCGAUCAACGCCUGGGCCUC